GACGAACGCUGGCGGCGCGCUUAACACAUGCAAGUCGAGCGAUGAAACUUUAACAGCACCCUUCGGGGCGAAGCUAAAGUGGAUUAGCGGCGGACGGGUGAGUAACCCGUGAGUAACCUGCCAUAGACAUUGGGAUAGCCUCGGGACACCGGGAUUAAUACCAAAUAAAAUCAUAAUGACACAUGUCAUAACGAUCAAAACUCGGGUGGUCUAGGAUGGACUUGCGUCCCAUUAGCUAGUUGGUAGAGUAACAGCCUACCAAUGCGACGACGGGUAGCCGGGAUGAGAGGGUGAGCGGCGACAUCGGAAGUAAGAAGCAGUAGGGACUCCUACGGGAGGCAGCAGUGGGGGAUAGUGCACAAUGGCGGGAACUAUGAUGCAGCGACGACGCGUGAACGAAGUAGGCUUUCGAGUCGUAAAGUUCAUUUAUCUGGGCAGAUAAUGACGGUACCAUAAGAGAAAGCCACGGCUAACUACGUG
rnacentral:rRNA from 1 species